rnacentral:rRNA from 2 species
CCUUAUUGGAGAGUUUGAUCCUGGCUCAGGACGAACGCUGGCGGCGUGCUUAACACAUGCAAGUCGAGCGGUAAGGCCCUUCGGGGUACACGAGCGGCGAACGGGUGAGUAACACGUGGGUAACCUGCCCUGUACUCUGGGAUAAGCCUUGGAAACGAGGUCUAAUACCGGAUACGAC